GCGCGAAAACUUUACAAUGCUGGCAACAGCGAUAAGGGAACCUCGAGUGCCAGGUUACAAAUCUGGCUGUCGAGAUGCCUAAAAAGCAUUUCAUAGCAAGGGCCGGGCAAGACUGGUGCCAGCCGCCGCGGUAACACCGGCGGCUCGAGUGGUAACCGUUAUUAUUGGGUCUAAAGGGUCUGUAGCCGGCCGGAUAAGUCUCUUGAGAAAUCUGGCAGCUUAACUGUCAGGCUUUCAGGAGAUACUGUCUGGCUCGAGGCCGGGAGAGGUGAGAGGUACUCAGGGGUAGGGGUGAAAUCUUGUAAUCCUUGAAGGACCACCAGUGGCGAAGGCGUCUCACCAGAACGGACCUGACGGCAAGGGACGAAAGCUAGGGGCACGAACCG
rnacentral:rRNA from 1 species